rnacentral:rRNA from 1 species
UACGUAGGGUGCGAGCGUUGUCCGGAAUUACUGGGCGUAAGGGCUCGUAGGCGGCCAACUAAUCGGAUGUGAAAUCCCCAGGCUUAACCUGGGAACUGCAUCCGAUACUGGAUGGCUUGAAUCCGGGAGAGGGAUGCAGAAUUCCAGGUGUAGCGGUGAAAAUGCGUAGAUAUCAGGAGGAACACCGGUGGUGUAGACGGCUUUCUGGACCU